ACGGGAGGCAGCAGUGGGGAAUAUUGGGCAAUGGGCGAAAGCCUGACCCAGCAACGCCGCGUGAAGGAAGAAGGUCUUCGGAUUGUAAACUUCUUUUAUGAGGGACGAAGGACGUGACGGUACCUCAUGAAUAAGCCACGGCUAACUACGUGCCAGCAGCCGCGGUAAUACGUAGGUGGCAAGCGUUAUCCGGAUUUACUGGGUGUAAAGGGCGCGUAGGCGGGAAGGCAAGUCAGAUGUGAAAUCCAUGGGCUCAACCCAUGAACUGCAUUUGAAACUGUUUUUCUGGAGUGCUGGAGAGGUAGACGGAAUUCCUUGUGUAGCGGUGAAAUGCGUAGAUAUAAGGAAGAACACCAGUGGCGAAGGCGGUCUACUGGACAGUAACUGACGCUGAGGCGCGAAAGCGUGGGGAGCAAACAGGAUUAGAUACCCUGGUA
rnacentral:rRNA from 1 species